AGAGGGGUGUCCGAGUGGCUGAAGGAGCACGCUUGGAAAGCGUGUAAGUCAGCAAUGGCUUCGCGGGUUCGAAUCCCGCUCCCUCUG
rnacentral:tRNA from 1 species